GUUGAAACACCGGUUCUCGUACGAUCACCGAAGUUAAGCAACGUCGAGCCUAGUCAGUACCUAGAUGGGUGACCGCUUUGGAAUACCAGCUGCUGUCAG